ACGAAAACGUAUCACUGUGCAAUGAACUGUGAAAAUGAGGUCACGGUCAAAUAAAACCUGCACGACUGACAUAAAGAUCAUAAAAUAUUUCCAUACACCAAAUAUAGUUGACCUAUAGUACUAGAUAAAAAGACCAAAACUCAAAAACUUAACUUUGACCACUGAACCAUGAAAAUGAGGUCAAGGUCACAUGACAUCUGCCCGCUAGACAUGUACACCUUACAAUCAUUCCCUACAACAAAUAUAGUAGACCUAUUGCAUAUAGUAUGAGAAAAACAGACCAAAACACAAAAGUUUAACUAUAACCACUGAACCAUGAAAAUGAGGUCAA
rnacentral:lncRNA from 1 species